GUGGGGAAUCUUGCGCAAUGGGCGAAAGCCUGACGCAGCCAUGCCGCGUGAAUGAUGAAGGUCUUAGGAUUGUAAAAUUCUUUCACCGGGGACGAUAAUGACGGUACCCGGAGAAGAAGCCCCGGCUAACUUCGUGCCAGCAGCCGCGGUAAUACGAAGGGGGCUAGCGUUGCUCGGAAUUACUGGGCGUAAAGGGCGCGUAGGCGGACAGUUAAGUUGGGGGUGAAAGCCCGGGGCUCAACCUCGGAACUGCCUUCAAUACUGGCUGUCUUGAGUAUGAGAGAGGUGUGUGGAACUCCGAGUGUAGAGGUGAAAUUCGUAGAUAUUCGGAAGAACACCAGUGGCGAAGGCGACACACUGGCUCAUUACUGACGCUGAGGCGCGAAAGCGUGGGGAGCAAACAGGAUUAGAAACCCCAGUAGUCC
rnacentral:rRNA from 1 species